rnacentral:tRNA from 1 species
AGUAAAGUAGUUUAAUGGUAAAAACUUUAGAAUCAUAAUCUAUAAAAUAUGAGUUCAACUCUCAUCUUUACUA